rnacentral:rRNA from 1 species
UGGUGGGUUGCCUUGUCAGGUUGAUUCCGGUAACGAACGAGACCUCAGCCUGCUAAAUAGUCACGGUCGCCCUUGUGGCGGCCGGCUGCACUUCUUAGAGGGACUAUUGUCGUUUAGGCAAUGGAAGUAUGAGGCGAUAACA